rnacentral:miRNA from 1 species
AGUCAGCCUGUGCUCUGAAGCUAUGAAGCCAGGCAUUGACUUCUCUCUAGCCAUGAAAGGCCUAGAUGGCAU